UGGCGGCGGGGUGACGCGGCGGCGCGGCCUGGCGGCGCCCGCUCGGCCCAGAUCUGGGCCCUUCGGGCCCCAUCUGGGCCUGGGCGGGCCGGCGGCGGGGCGGGUCCGCUUCGUGGCUUCCGGGAGGCGGGGGAGAGACGAUGAGCGGCAGGGUGCUGGCGGCGCCAUCGCCAGCUUGCUGCAGCAUGGCGGCGGGGCUUAGCGGGCCUGUUUCGGGCCUGGCCGGGCCAGGGGUGGCCUGGCAUGCCCUGCUGCCGCGUCCGGAUGGCUACCGCGACGGUGCCGGAGGUUCUGGCCUCCCGCACGACGGCGGUGGAGGUGGUUCCCUCCCGUUCGGCUUCGGUGGUGCUUCUCCCUCCGCGGGGCGCUUCUCCCCGAUCCUCUUGGCCUCGUGUUGGUGUUCGCAGUGAGGCGGCGUGGGUGACGGCGCAACCGCGAUGGCGCAUGGUGGUGGGCGGCGGUCUGGCUGGUCGGCUCCGGUCUGUGGGGCGGUGGGGAUUGGAGUACGGGAGAAAUCCUUGCCAGUCUUCGGCCCCGAUGCGGUGACACUUGCGGGUGCCACCAUUCCUUCCUGGAGGGUGUCGGUGAUAUCCAUCCCCCACCUCCCUCCGCGUGCCGGGGAAACCCUAGGACAUGUCCGGGCAGCAGCGUCAUCGGCGUCGCUUUCCUUUUUGGAGGUGCUGUUUUGUACGCGGUGGUCCGGAGCCUCGGGUUGUAGUGGUUUGUGUCUGGUGGGCGUAGCGGUGGCGGGUCAUCCGUGCUCUGUCGAGCUGCCGUUGUUGGCAUUUGCUUCUUCUUCUUUUUCUUUUGGGCUUGUUGUGCUGUUCGCCCCAGCGAUCCUGUAUCGGUGUUGGUUGCUUUGGAAUACAAAGCGGGGGAAACCCUUUUCCGGUAAAGGUGGAAAAUUCUUGGUUUUAGUGAUUGAGAUCUUCACUUCUCUGUACAUUGAAAUUCGUUUGAAUGGAUAAUGGUAACCUUGAAAGGUGGACACCAAUCACGUAGAUUCAUAGAAAGGUAUCUCGAAGGUAGACGCUGUCUUCCCCGUUUGCUUGGACAUGAGCUGCAAUUUUGGUUCAAAAGUGUUUGUCUCCCUCCCUCUUGCAGGUAAUCUGCUCGCUCUGUUUCCUUCAGACCAGAACUCAGAAGUACUCGUCUCCUUAACUUUCUUCUGAUAGCUUACUCAUGUAAGUAAUCUGACCACUCUGUAGUCCUCCUUGUCAUCAGUUAUCUAUCUUGUCAGCUUGCGUCAGAUGAUGUUGCAUAAUGCAUGUUCACUCUUUACAACUAAGUGCAGCUCUUGGUCAUUCAUGUUUCAAUUCACUGCUUUCUUCGAUGCCACUGCAGACAUCGGGCAACAUCACAGAGCACCAUCACCUUUGUAUGUGGAGACUCUGGAAAGCUGGACUAGCUGCUAGACAACCCGAUGAUCUCAUAACGCAGAUCUCCGGUGGCCAUUCUUCGACCCCAAUUUCAUCGGCCAGAUGUUUGCCGACACCGACUCUAGAUGGCUAGUCUAUCCAUGCUUGGAAUGGAAGCUAGAGCGUUCCUGUGUUGUCUAGAUGGAGUUGGAAGAGAAGUGGUGACUGGUGAGAACCAGAGAAACUCCUAUCCAUGUCUAAAGUAUUGGCGGCAGGAUUUGAUUCCACUCGUGCAGCAUCGCUGGCUGGUAAG